GCUUGCUCACCGACGCAAACCGCCGUGUGCCCAGGGGCGUACAGUGGCGUUUGGCUCGGUUCGUCGCCGUCGUCUUCCUCGCUGCGUCCCUCGACCUCUUCUACCCCGUGAACUCUCCCCUGUGCCCUCCCCGUCGUUUGCCCUGAGUUCAUGCGCGCGAGCACGCGUCCGCGGCGCCGGACACGCGUCCGCGACGGUGCCAGCUCGGCCCCCUCGCCCCGCGGCUAUUUAAGCCCCCCCGAGCCUCUUCGACCUCACCUCUGGCCUCGCCUCUCUCCCAGCUCCCUCCCCGUCCACUCGCUCGAGCUCUAGGAGCUCUCUGUUCCCCCAUGGCCGCCAUGGCCGCCGCCUCUGCCCUUCCUCGAUUCGGUCGAACCCAGCCCGUUCCCUCUGUUCCACCACCACCGGAGGAGUCCCCUCGACGCCCUGACCCUCCCCACCUACUUUCCCCUCGCCGAAGUGCCCCGCAGCCCCGUAGCCCAACCCCACACCCGAGGCCAUCUCCGCCGGAGUCCACACCCUAGUCGCUCAGAUCCUCCUUGGCGUCCGUGCCCUUGCUGAAUGGAUCCGCCACGUCCUGCUGAGCUCGUCGGUAGGUCGCGCGCCCCGUAUUGUGGCCGGGAUCGCCGGCGAGCCUCGUCGGGGUGAGCUCCCCUGCUCGGCCCGAUGCGUCCAGGCGGAAGGAAGAAGAAGGAGGCCAGGAGGAGAGAGGGAGUGGAUAAGGUGGGACCCACCUGUCAGCCACACACGAGCCGGCCCCGCGUUGAACCAGAUGGGUCCCUGGCAGAAAACACUCCAUAACUUUUUAACUGUAGCUCCAAAUGAGCCCUCUCGGAGAGAGAACGUUUUCCGGCGAUUCGUUCCGCGAGCUUCUCGCACUUUCUCCCGGUGAUUUCUUCCACCCCAGGCAAGCCACAACAUCCACUUGCAUGAUAGUCAUGCAGUAGCCAUGGUUUUCAACUUGAAUCUUUAUUAAAUGUUUGCUUGUUGAAAAGAUGGUUAUCGUUGUUCCGAUGAUGUUUAGAUUUGCAUGUUCACUUU